rnacentral:lncRNA from 1 species
GCUGUAGUGGCUUCGUCUUCGGUUUUUCUCUUCCUUCGCUAACGCCUCCCGGCUCUCGUCAGCCUCCCGCCGGCCGUCUCCUUAACACCGAACACCAUGCCUUCAAUUAAGUUGCAGAGUUCUGAUGGAGAGAUAUUUGAAGUUGAUGUGGAAAUUGCCAAACAAUCUGUGACUAUUAAGACCAUGUUGGAAGAUUUGGGAAUGGAUGAUGAAGGAGAUGAUGACCCAGUUCCUCUACCAAAUGUGAAUGCAGCAAUAUUAAAAAAGGUAAGGUCUUUAAAGAGUUUAAGUUUAUUCUGCUUAAUAUAUAACACCAAUUGAUUAAUACAAGUAAUUCAACAAUCUAUGUUAGAAUUUUAUAAUUUACUGCUUAAAAUUACAUUUAAAUUUGAAUGUUCUUAAACACUUACUUGAGUGAUGUUUGUAUGUUCUUAAAAUAUACAGAAAAAAGUUCUGUCUGCUUUCUUGCCACAGUUGACUAUUGUCAUUUAUUGGGCAUCUGUACUGUGUCUACCUAUGCAAACACUUCCCUAGGAAGGAUGAUCUACAUGUAGAAUAUCUGGAUCGCAGGUCAUUCAGUGGUGCACCCACCACAAGGAUGACCCUCCUCCUCCUGAAGAUGAUGAGAACAAAGAAAAGCGAACAGAUGAUAUCCCUGUUUGGGACCAAGAAUUCCUGAAAGUUGACCAAGGAACACUUUUUGAACUCAUUCUGGCUGCAAACUACUUAGACAUCAAAGGUUUGCUUGAUGUUACAUGCAAGACUGUUGCCAAUAUGAUCAAGGGGAAAACUCCUGAGGAGAUUCGCAAGACCUUCAAUAUCAAAAAUGACUUUACUGAAGAGGAGGAAGCCCAGGUAGGUAGCACACAGUUUUGUCUUUGAUCACAUGCUCUUAAAAAGGGAGUAACACCUAUAACAUGCCAGCAAAAGAGGUGACUGUAUCAAGUAGUCUUGAUACUUUAGGGAUAAUAUGUACUUAAUGUGUCUUAAACAUACUCUUACUGUUCUGUCUUUAUGAAUCUGAACACUUAGAUGAUACUGCAUUUUAAGCAUAAGAACAAUUAGUUUUCAAUGAGAAGAGCUCUUGUUAAUGUAUUAACAGUUACUAGUUUUGGCACCUGCAACUUUCUGUAUAGACCAUACAUAUCUGACAUCAGAAAAGCAGGCCCUAGAGAGAAGUAUAUACUAGGGUACUUUAGAGCAACUUAAUGAGGGGAGGAAAUGAAAGAAUAGAUCAGAAUGAUUUUGUUGACAUGACUACAGACUGAAAUAAUGUGAAUGAAUUAACUGAAUUUGCUCUGUCAACUUUAGUAAAUUGCCCAUUGCCUUUGCUUUGUUCAUAAUUUCAGCAGGGCAGAAUAAAAACCAUGGGAGGCAAAGAAAGGAAAUCCGGAAAUAUAGUCUUAACCUGGUGUUGUUCUAAUUUUCCAUCUGUUCUUCUGACUCAACUCACUGGCUAUCGAUGAAUCAGUAGGUAGUAUUUAUAAGUCUUAGGAAAGACUACUCAAGUUAAGGUACUUCCCUAUAUCCAUCUCUUUUAGGUACGCAAAGAGAACCAGUGGUGUGAAGAGAAGUGAAAUGUUGUGCCUGACACUGUAACACUGUAAGGAUUGUUCCAAAUACUAGUUGCACUGCUCUGUUUAUAAUUGUUAAUAUUAGACAAACAGUAGACAAAUGCAGCAGCAAGUCAAUUGUAUUAGCAGAAUAUUGUCCUCAUUGCAUGUGUAGUUUGAGCACAGAUCCCAAACCUUACGGCCAAGUUUCUUCUAGUAUGAUGGAAAGUUUCUUUUUUCUUUGCUCUGAAUAAAACUGAACUGUGGGUUCUCUAUAAGUGGC